rnacentral:rRNA from 1 species
UGGGGAAUUUUGGACAAUGGGGGAAACCCUGAUCCAGCCAUCCCGCGUGUGCGAUGAAGGCCUUCGGGUUGUAAAGCACUUUUGGCAGGAAAGAAACGUCGCGGGUUAAUACCCCGCGAAACUGACGGUACCUGCAGAAUAAGCACCGGCUAACUACGUGCCAGCAGCCGCGGUAAUACGUAGGGUGUAAGCGUUAAUCGGAAUUACUGGGCGUAAAGCGUGCGCAGGCGGUUCGGAAAGAAAGAUGUGAAAUCCCAGAGCUUAACUUUGGAACUGCAUUUUUAACUACCGGGCUAGAGUGUGUCAGAGGGAGGUGGAAUUCCGCGUGUAGCAGUGAAAUGCGUAGAUAUGCGGAGGAACACCGAUGGCGAAGGCAGCCUCCUGGGAUAACACUGACGCUCAUGCACGAAAGCGUGGGGAGCAAACAGGAUUAGAUACCCUGGUAGUCCACGCCCUAAACGAUGUCAACUAGCUGUUGGGGCCUUCGGGCCUUGGUAGCGCAGCUAACGCGUGAAGUUGACCGCCUGGGGAGUACGGUCGCAAGAUUAAAACUCAAAGGAAUU